rnacentral:rRNA from 1 species
GAACGCUGGCGGCGUGCCUAACACAUGCAAGUCGAGCGGAGAAUGCAAGAUGUUUACAUUGAGCAUUCUUAGCGGCGGACGGGUGAGUAACACGUGGGUAACCUGCCUCAGAGUGGGGGAUAGCCUUUCGAAAGGAAGAUUAAUACCGCAUAAGCUUGUAGCAUCGCAUGGUGCAGCAAGAAAAGGAGCAAUCCGCUCUGAGAUGGACCCGCGGCGCAUUAGCUAGUUGGUGAGGUAACGGCUCACCAAGGCCACGAUGCGUAGCCGACCUGAGAGGGUGAUCGGCCACAUUGGAACUGAGACACGGUCCAGACUCCUACGGGAGGCAGCAGUGGGGAAUAUUGCACAAUGGGCGAAAGCCUGAUGCAGCAACGCCGCGUGAGUGAUGAAGGCUUUCGAGUCGUAAAGCUCUUUGAUCAGGGAUGAUAAUGACAGUACCUGAAAAACAAGCCACGGCUAACUACGUGCCAGCAGCCGCGGUAAUACGUAGGUGGCGAGCGUUGUCCGGAAUUACUGGGCGUAAAGGAUGCGUAGGUGGAUAUUUAAGUGGGAUGUGAAAUCCCCGGGCUCAACCCGGGAACUGCAUUCCAAACUGGAUAUCUAGAGUGCAGGAGA